GCACUAGUUGACAUGAUACAAUAUCUUUUCAAAAGAUGAUACAUUAUCUUCAUGAAAGAAAGGAAGUUGGAGAAGUUAUUAUUUAAGAGGAAUUCAGUGUCAUGUGGUUCUCAAGAGCUAAAAUGGAACAACAAGUGCAAGCCUGUCAUGCCUACACUAACUAAUCAGAUUUCCCGAGGGAGAAGAAGGAGGUGCCGAAAGGGUAUGGGAGUAACAAGUCUGAAUCGAAGAGUAUAUAUGUUUUGAUUUUGAGUUGCAUUGCCCAGUAUUUUUAUUGUUCUAAGAAAUCCAUGGAGAUGUCUAUGGAACAUUUCCUUGAUGUGAUAGGCAUAUUUGUUUACCACAUUCAGUUGUUGGCCCUGCUGUUGACGUCCAUGGUGGCGCUGAUGAUGAUCUUGGCAAGGAUUUGAUGUAUCUGCCUGGGGUCUUGGUAUGUCCUUGAGCACGCAUCAGGACAAAUUGUCUACUACAAAAGUGACCGACACGACACGGAGUUUUAUUGAAUAAAUCCUACUGAGGAUAUACAAUGAGUAUUGCGAAGAUCAUCAACUCCGUGGUGGAUAUUUAUUGGCCUGACAUAUCAGGUGAAAUCCAUCCAGUAUAUUUUAUAUUAUAUAUUGCUUUAUUUAAAAGAGCAAUUACUCUGGCUUGUAAGUUCUCCAGUGCAGGAGAAGUUAUAUCAAUGAGAUGUUGAAUGACUCAUACCAGUUUAUAUCACGGUUAAAUAUGGAGAAUCUCAAGACAACUUCUCGAGUCAUCUUAAGACUCGGGGGCUACAAUGACAUGACUCGGCGAAAUCGGCCAGUUUUAGUGAAUUCAAGAACUCCGGGUCAAUGGAGGGAAGAUAACCCGGUCCCGUAGACUACCGCCAUAUUGGUAAAAAAUUAAAGGCCGUCAGAAAAUUUCCGGCUCACAAUGAUGCUUCGGUUUACAAUCCGGCUCAAGGUAAACCUGUCUCCCACAAAGCUUUAAAGCUCUAAAUGUCCGGUUUGAAAUUCCGGUUUAAAAAGAAUUCAUUUCUUGCAAGAUCGAGGUUUUAGAAAAAAAUUAUAGGGACCAAAGAGAGUUUGUUGCACAGAACCACUCAAACAUAGGCACCCGGCGAGCACAACUCAGAAAUAUAUCACUUGGGAGCUUCCGGCUUAUUGAGCUAAGCUAUGAUUAUCCUUUGAUUCGGCUCAUAGCCACAUUUACAUGUCAUUUGAGGGCUUUCUGUUCAAACAUAGGUCGUAUUUGAACCAAAGAGAACAUAGAUGCCGGUACCCUCUUGAUCGGCGCAAUGCCAAACUCACUAGGGGGCUUCUUGAUCGUAUUCGAAUCAUAGCUUAACCCCUUUUGGGUCCGACUCGGAUCGUAUUCGAAUCAGGCUCGUUAAAAACCUUUCAAGGUCAUUUGGGGGCUUCCUGUUCAAACAUAGGUCGUAUUCGAACCAAAGAGAACAUAGCUGUCGGUACCCUCUUGAUCGGCGCAACGCCAAAGCCACUGGGGGCUACAUGAUCGUAUUCGAAUCCUAGCUUAACCCCUUUGGAACGGUUUACUGAUCGUAUUCGAAUCAGAAGCCUCGAUUUUUCUUUCUAUUUGGCUUAAGUUUUCUGAAAACAAUCUUUGAUUUUGUAUUGAGACUUUUUUGUUCAGAUUUAAGUAUAAGUGUGGUUUAAAUUUAACCCGGCUUGGUUUUGGACGAUAAGUCGCCAACAUAUGACAAACAUCAUACAUUUGGAAGUGAGUGGCUUCUAAGGAUUGGGUUAUCACCCUUACUGCACAGGUAUCCUAAACCGGCAGUAUGAUUCAAUAUCACAUGAACCAGUUUUGCAAACCGGAUUUUAUUAUUCAAUUCUUUAAUAGCCAACAUGGCUGGAUUUUUAUUAUGGUUAUCAAUAGCCAGUAUUAUGAUGGAGGUCUUCAAAGUCGCUUCAGCGCAAUGGCUAUUAUUCUAUCAAUGGGCAUGAUUUAUUUUACAAUGGAGGAAAUAGUCCCGAGUCGCUGUAGGCUUACGACCCGACACUUGGGGGCUACAUUAUUCAAGUUGAGAUUACAUCAAAUAUGCAAGUCUCAUGUCACUG